rnacentral:rRNA from 1 species
AUGGCGGCCGCGACGGCGACGGCGACGGCGGCGGACGAUGAGGCGCGCCUGCUGCGGCUGGAGGAGCAGGCGGAGCACGGCGGCGGCGGCGCCUGGGAGUACCUCUCCCUCGCCCGCAGGCUCCGCGCGCGCCGCCCCGCCCCCGUCCUCCGCCUCGGCCUCUCCCUCCUCAACGACGCCUCCGCCCGCUCCCGCCUCGCCUCCGAGCAGUGGACGCUCUACGAGCAGGUGGCGGUGGCCGCCAUGGACUGCCAGCGUCUUGAUGUCGCAAAGGAUUGUAUUGGAGUCCUCUCCAGGCAGUUUCCUGGCAGCGCUCGUGUUGGCCGGCUAGAAGCCCUGCUGUUUGAGGCAAAGGGUGAUUGGGCUGAAGCUGAAAGAGCUUAUGCACUUAUCCUGGAAACCAACCCAUUUGAUCAGAUUGUCCACAAGAGAAAAAUUGCUAUUGCAAAAGCACAAGGUGACAUGUCUUUAGCAGUUGAUUAUUUGAACAAGUAUCUGGAAUUAUUCAUGGCGGAUCAUGAUGCAUGGAGAGAGCUUGCUGAAAUUUAUGUUUCCUUACAAAUGUACAAACAAGCCGCCUUUUGUUACGAGGAACUAAUAUUGGCUCAACCAACCAUUCCACUUUAUCAUCUAGCUUAUGCUGAGGUUUUGUACACACUGGGUGGUUUGGAAAACCUUCAAACCGCUAAAAAGUACUACGCGUCGACGAUCCAGUUGACUGGGGGCAAGAACACGAGAGCUCUCUUUGGCGUGUGCCUGUGCAGCGCAGCGAUCAGCCAGCUGACCAAAGGGAGGAACAAGGAGGAGGAGAGCUCGGAGCUGCAGAGCCUGGCCGCAGAGGCACUGAUGAAGGAUUACAAGCGGCGCGCGCCGUCCAUGGAGGCGCUCGUCGCGGGCAUGCUGAAGAACAUGAAGCUCUCCUGA